rnacentral:rRNA from 1 species
GACAGCAGUCGCCGCGGUAAUACGUAGGUGGCAAGCGUUGUCCGGAAUUAUUGGGCGUAAAGGGCUCGCAGGCGGUUUCUUAAGUCUGAUGUGAAAGCCCCCGGCUCAACCGGGGAGGGUCAUUGGAAACUGGGAAACUUGAGUGCAGAAGAGGAGAGUGGAAUUCCACGUGUAGCGGUGAAAUGCGUAGAGAUGUGGAGGAACACCAGUGGCGAAGGCGACUCUCUGGUCUGUAACUGACGCUGAGGAGCGAAAGCGUGGGGAGCGAACAGGAUUAGAUACCCCCGUAGUCCCUGUCUCUUAUAC